rnacentral:lncRNA from 1 species
UUUGGCUAUUUGCAAAGCGGUCCACAAUGGCAACGGUGUCUCCGCUAGUUGAGAACAGCACCUGAUCGGUCUGGAGAAGCCCGCGGUUGUUUUGGAGAUUUGUAAAGUAGUGGUUGUCGAAGGCAUCGCGGGUGGACUGGUCAAGGUCAUUCAACGUAUCUCCGCUGCCGUUUUGAGGACAUGCUUGGCGGAGGGUUUCCAAGUAUCCGGCUUCAAUGGUCGGGUCCGGGUUGCCAGUGCCGCUGAAAUUGUAGAGGCGGUGAACGAAAGUUGAACAUCUUGCCCGUCCAAAUGUAUGAGCACCUAAGAAAGGAAACAACUACAUUUAAAUCUUUCAAAAUAAUUAGAGGUUGACUUAUUAAUUGGUGUAUACUACUAGGUUAAUCUGGUAAUUAGUUGUACUAUUAUUCUGGUCAAUUGCGUGUCUAUUACUAGGGUUACCUGAUAAAGCAACCAGAUCAGUGGAAUCUAAUCCUGCAUCGCGAAAUUUUUGUGAAAUUUGCUCAAGGUUUUCGAGAAAGCUUGGAAUGGCACUGGUACCAGCUCGGUUGGCUGUCCUACUGUCUCUUCUUCCCAAUUGAGCUUCCCACGUUGGCCCUCCAUUCUGCAACAAUACCAAUAGAAGUAUUAUUUGAGGAACUAUUUGGACAAUAAUAUAUCAGGAACUGCUUAAAUAUAUAUGCUCCAAAUUUCCAAGAAUUGUUCAUUAAUCAGAUUGUCUCUUCACCGCCAUUCGCUUUCUUUUUUAUUUUCCUUGGGACUGGUUCUCAGAUGGAAUAUUGACCAUUUCCCAAUUUCUUUCAGGGCUUGGUCCUCCUCUUAAAUAUCAGUUUUUAUUUUUUAAAUUUUAUUAAAUAACGUAACGCGAAUUAAUUAAUUAAAGUAAUUAGAACUUUUAAUAGGUACGUACCGCAGAAACAAGAAUUUGAGAAGCAAUUGCUAAAAUGUCAGAACAGGAGACAACACCAGGGCAAACAUUCUCGACCGCAGUUUUGAUAUCAUCUACAACGUCGUACCCGUCUGUCGAUUGAUUGGGAGGUGCAUCUUUCUCGCUCUCUAUCCCAUCUGUGUUGUCCAGCAUAAUCGAUCCAUCACAACCCUGCAUGCAUGCACCGUUACCAUUAUAUUAAAUUUAAUUAUUAUAGCACAUAAAAACACUAUUCUUGUUUUGACAGAGAGUCCGUUAUUAAUAGCCGGGUUGUCCAUAUAUUGGUUAACGACAUAUCAAUGGAAAAACUUUUUGACGUCCUAGCAAUCCAUUAUUAACAUUAUCGAUACAAAAUCCAUCAUUUAUAAAAAGCGGAUGCUCAUGCACAUAGAAUUUUUUGUAAAAUAUAUAUCACAUUAUAUGUUAUUGGAUGAUAUUUUUAACACUAUAUAACAUAUUCUUUAAUGAAUUACAUACGUUGACAAAGCAGUCGUGGAAAUGAACUCGGAUGAGUUUGGCACCAAUUCGGAUGUCAUUCUGUUGAGCUUGCUCGACCACACCACGAACAAUGCUCGUCACAUUCGGGCAUGUGGUGCUGUAGAAAGUUGAGCUCAGUUGAGCGUUGGAAUUUCCCAAUAUCGUAGCAGUAACAAGAACAAAUAUUGCUGCUGCAAUUGAAAAUAAAGACAUGAUGAUUAAUUAGGAAACUCAAAAUUGCGAGGUUGCUAUCUAUAGUUAUACUAGCUCUUAUGUUGGGAGAUGAGAUGGCUUCUAUGAGGCUAAUACUCUACCCUUUUAUAGAGAGAGUAGUAGGUGAGAUUUCAGGGAUCUAAGAGACAUGUAUUUUGUGCAUACUAUAAGCAAAUGACCAGAAUGAUCGUUCUUUGAAUAUUCAUAUGUUGAUAUUUUCAGACAAUUAAGCUGAUGUGGGCCUAUUAGCAAUCAGGAACUUUUCUACGUAAUGCUUGUAAGUUGAAGAAUUUUCAAACUUUCCCCGUGGAGGGCGCGCGCAAUUAUUUUAAUCAAAGUUUUGUAUAUAUUUCAAAGAGUAAUGUUAGGACAAUUUGUACAUUAAAUUAACAAAUUAAAUAAUGUAUCACUAAUAAAAAAUAAGCACGUUAAUCAUCAAUUUUUAUGUUAUUUAGUUUACAAAAUUUUGUCUCUACAAAUUUAAUUUCUCUAGCGUUAUUCUAUUUCAAAAGUCCAGGGGCAAAAUAUGGGUAAUAUUAGGGAGACUAAAUUUGUAAACAAAGUUUACAAACUAAAUAAUGUGUCAUCAAUAGGAAUGAACACGUUUAUUAACGCUUAAGUAUUAUUUCAAUUUCAACUUCUAUGUUAUUUAGUUUACAAAAUUAGUCUACAAAUUUAAGGACUUGGAUUGUCUGCCCUCCCCAUCCGGUGCCCUCCCCAUGCCCUCCUAUAUUAUGUGGUCACGGUUAAGCCACGUUAACAUUUUAUAUUGAUUUUUUUGUAGAAAUAAUAAAACAAAAAAUAAUUAGAAUAUAAAAUGUUGACGUGGCUUAACCGUGACCACAUAAAUAGGAGGGCAUGAGAAGGGCACGGGAUGGGAAGGGCAGACAAUCCAAGUCCCAAAUUUAGUAUCCCUACCAGUACCGCCAUAUAUGGUAACUCUAUUGAUGACUUAAUAUAGUAAUAAAUUCAGCAAGAAAAGAAUGGGUCUGGGGAAGAAAAAUGGAAUCAUGAAGCAAUGAUUGUCAAUUCGAUCAGCGAAUACACCAUCUGCUUAAUUAACAUGUCCUUGAAUAAAGGUUAUCACAGUCUGAUUAAGACACUUUUCCAAAGUUAAAAAAACGCCCUACUUUAUUUGACUGUCCCACUGAUUAUGUGCCCAAAUCUAUAAUUUGCAGAAAUUUGUUUCCAUACAAUUAGGGUAUGCAUGCUUAUGGAUAACAUACAGUAAUGAGGUUUACCAAUUUCUUCCAUGCAUGCAUAAUAAACAUAGGGAUUUUGGUAUACUUUUCUUUGUGUAAAGGUUAUCACAGUUUGAUUAAGACACUUUUCCAAAUUUCAAAAUGCCUUACUUUAUUUGACUGUCCCAGCGGUUAUUUUCUCAAAUUUAUAAUUUGCAUAAAUUUUUUAUCGAUACAAUAUUAAUUAAGCAGAUGGUGAUCUGGAUGACAAUAUUGAUUAAGCAGAUGGUGUAUUCACUGAUCUAACUGUAACUAGACAUAUGGAACUAAUUAGAGGUAAAUCAACAUUGAUGAGAAGAGAAAUUCAUUAGACCAAAACUAGCUUAUUCGUUAGAUAAAAUGAAACUAAGGUUUUGUUUGGUAUCUAGGAUUGAAUUAAAAUGAAUAACUUCCAUAUUUAAAAUAUCUUGAAGGAGUAAAUGAAAAAAUUGCAUCUUACAUGAAUGUAGACGGAUAAUUACUCAUUCAGAAAACUUAUGCAUGCCAAUGCCUUCCAAAAUUGGAGAAUUAAUUAGAUAAGUUUUCUCCAUAUCUAAUCCCUUCAAAUGAAAAAAAAAAAAUCUUUUAUGUGUAUCUUAAAAUAUGCCAUGAAUUCAUGAGGUUUCAAAUCCAGAUACCAUAAGUUCUAAUUCUAGUCACCAAACGACACCUAAGUGUUUAGACCCUGAAAUCAAUAUUAUAUAUUUCAUACAACAUGAAGUAGUCUAGCAGAGUCUAUUGUUGAUAUAUUUCAUACUGCGCGCAUUGUCUUGCAAAAAUUGGCCUUUCUCAGAAGCAAAAGUGUGAAUAGAUUGAUGCCCCGCUUAGUAUUGUCACUGACAUACUUGUUGAGGAAAGUGUAUGCAUGUAUGCUUAGAGAUGGAUUGGUUUUUGUAAUGCUUUUGAUGAAAUGAAAUCUAUUAUUGUAAAAGAAGAGACUUCUUCAAUUUGGAUAUUGUGGGGAGUAGGAAACAUAUGUAUGAAGAUCCCAGCAUUCUAGAAAUUUUGUAUAUGGAUUGGAGUCUUUGGAGCCAAUUGAAGAACUUCUAUCAGUUUGUCUAACCGUGUGGGUACGAACUCUGUAUGGACCCGCUCAUAAAUAAGUAGGUGUACAUAUAUUAUCAAUGGAUAAUAUUAGCAUCCUAUUACGGAAUACACAUAUCUCAGUUUCCAUAACGUAUGUUUAUUACAUUGUACCACCUCAGGUUUGGAAUCUAUUACAAUCGCAUACAACAUUUCAGUUUCCAUAAUGUGUGUUUAUUACAUUGUACCACCUCAGGUUUGGAAUCUAUUACAAUCGCAUACAACAUCUUCAAAACAUUUCACUUUCAUACCUCACCUACUAUUUUAUUUCAAUAUAGUAUCUCCAUUACAUUUUUCAUUUAUUGAUCAGUUAAGAGCUGACGUGACUGCCAAAUUUGUGUCACGUGGCAAAAAAAUAAUUUUUUAUUCAUUUAAAAAUAAUUAAUUAAAGAAAAAUUAAAAAUAAAUAAUAAUAAUAAAUUUAAAAAAAAACCAUAACCAUCUUCUUUCCCCGAGACCCCUCCUUUCCCUGCAACCUAAACCCCUUAUCCCACCCCACCCCACCUACCGUAACCCCACACCCCACCCCAUCCCACCCACACCUCCACCGAAAACCCUAAAAAAACCCAGCUGGGUUUUUUGCAGAGGACACACAGAGAUUCCCCCACGAAGACAAAGAGAAGAAGACGGGUUAGGUCUUGUAGCAACUUUCUCCUUCUCAGUCCACUUCUCCUCUCUCUCUCUCUCUCUCUCUCUCUCUCUCUCUCUCUCUCUCUAGAAUUCCCUUUGCUUUGCCCUUCCCAAAACCCCCACUCCCUUAUUUCUUCUCGGGAAUUCAAUUCCCCCUUUUGAUUUUGGGGUUUUGGGUUGAACAACUGGGUUUUUUUUGGGUUUUGGGUGGGGCGGGUGGGGGGGGUUGCGGCGGAGAUGGGGGCGGGGUAGGGUGGGGGUGGGGUGGGAUGGGGUUUUUUUUUAUAAACUUUUUUUAAAACUUUUCUUUAAUUAAUUAUUUUAAAUGAAUAAUUUUUUUUUUUUGCCACGUGACACAACUAUGGCAGCCACGUCAGCUCUUAACGGAUUAAUGAAUGAAAAAUGUUAUAGAGGUACUAUAUUGAAAUAAAUUAGUAGGUGAGGUAUGAAAGUGAAAUGUUUUGAAGAUGUAUGCGAUUGUAAUAGACCUCAAACCUGAGGUGGUACAGUGUAAUUUACCCUAAAAUUUAUAAUCAAAACCGUUUACUCUAUUAGUUUUUAUUUGAAGAUCAUUCUACAAAAAAAUUUUGAAUUGGAGAUUGUUUUAGUCAUCUAAAUUUAUGGAAUAAAUCAACAAUGUGAGUACCUAAUAACAUAUUCAUAAUGAAUCAUUCAUUUAUCUGAUAUAUUUGAAUGACUAAUCUCCGAUUCAACUAUUUUUUUUUUUAAGGAUCAUCUUCAAAUGAAGAUUAAGAAUUGAACGGUUCUAACUAUUAAAUUUAUUGCAAGGAGUAGUAUAUGUGCAUCUCUCCGGGGGGGGGGGAUGCAAGUACUAUAAGAGAAAAUUUUCAAUUUGCCCGAAAUAUAAGCCGGUACACCACAUAUCAUAAUAUAAGUGGAAGGAGAAAGGAGACUGAAAAAGAUAUCAUCUCUACUUAUAUUAUGAUACGUGGUGUACUAGUUAUUUUCCAAGUACAUGAGAAAAACCUCUCCUAAUCUAGAAUAGUAAAGAUGCCCUCGUCCACUUAUAUUAACACAGGUGUACCAUUUUUUGUUCCGACCGUACAUAUAAAAAUUUCUCAACGUUUGCCUACAUUUUGACCUCCAAUAUAUUAGCUUAUGGCUCGUUUGGAAGUAUUUUUAAAAUAAUUGAAGGCUCUUUUGGUGAAAAUAUUUUUGAAACUAAUUUUUAGUAAAAAGAGUAAUGCUACAUUCACCACAUAGUUAUACUAUCAUUUGUACCAUCUCUCCAAUAUAGGUAAGGCCCACCAACAUAUGUGGGUUCUAUUUCUAUUAGAGAGAUGAUACAAAUAUGUGGUAAUUUUAAUAUUUUAGUAGUAAAAAUCCAAGUAGAUCCUGCAAAAGCACUUGAAGUGCUUCUUGUGAUUUUUGCAAGAAGCACAUACAUCAUAUAUGGUGCUUUUUCCAAAAAACAUUUGAAGUGCUUUUGGAACCCAUUACUUUCACCAAAAGUUGUUUAAGUCAUUUUAAGAACACUUUCAAACAAACUCUUAAUUAAAAAAAAAAUUGCCAAUAUUUAAUCUGCUCAACAAUCAACUGAAUCAAGUAAGUAACUCUGAAGUUAAUUUACUGUUAGGUAUAUGUAUUGGCGAAUGCAGAAAAAAAACCAUUAAUUGAGCUUGAAAAUAAACAAAAACAACAAGAGUCAGCAAUGUGUGCUCUGCAAUAAUCAGCUCCUUUAUUUAUUUAUUUUUAAAUGUCUCCUUUAUUUAUUUAUUGGGAAAUUGCACCUUUUUUUACUUUCAUGUCAGUAAUAUCUAACGUCACAUUCAUGUCUGACAGAUGGAUAGAGAGAGUCAAAUAAAAUAUAAUUAAAAGCCUUUAUGAUUGUGGAUUAAUUUGAGCAUAUUGUAUUAUUGUACGACCUUUUUUUGUUGGGACAAAGAUUGUCUCCUCAUUGUUCCUGUGUCAUUCCAUGCUUUUCUGUUUGUGUGGUCACGGUUAAGUCACGUCAAUAUUUUAUAUUACUAUUUAUUUUGUCUUAUUAACUUUAUAAAAAAUAAUAUAAAAUAUUGAUAUGAUUUAACUAUGAUCACAAAAAAUAGAAAGGUACGGAAACAAGGAAGGCAUACAAUCUUUGUCCUUUUUGUUGAGCACUAAGAUUUGGUUUCUAGAGGGCUGACUGCUACUAUGUCGUUAUAAGGAUAAUAUAAAUUAACCAGAAGAACUUUAAUUAGUUGCCUAGUUGAAUAUUCUGGGCCUAUUUCAGCUGAAUUUUCAUCUAAGCUAACCAAUAGCAAUUCAUGGCACAUGAUGAAAUACUAGCAUGCAUGCAACCAAAUCUUAAAGAAAAUGACAAAAAUAAUUUCUUUUUUGACGGCUAGUAAAACUGUUAUAAUCAUAUUAUAUAUAGAAAAUUAUUUCUUUUCUGCUGAAUUUUCAUGCAAGGAGCCAACAAUCAUUAAUGACAUACAGGAAAUGACAUGCAUAUACGGAUGCCUCCCAAUUUUCGAAAACGAAGGAUAAGAUUUGGUCGUUCUUGACAGCAUAAUAAUCCCAUGAAAGGAAAAACAUCAAGUUGUGGAGGUAUGAAUCCAAAUGUUUUAGCUGAGAGAUUUUUCAGCUGUUUUUUAUUGUAGUAGAAUGUGAGCAUGCUCAAUGAACAUAAAAAUAUCUUUGACAGAAAAAAUGAGAGGAAAUAAGAGAAUAAAAACAAGAAAAUUAAUUCCAAGUUGAAAAGCAAAUUAAUAUCUUUGGUGGUAAAACUGUUAUAGUUAACAUAGUUGACACCAAUGAACGUAGUCAUCAAAUUUAGAUAAUGGUGACACUCGGGUUUACAAAGCCACUGAUAAGAAUGGUGCGCUCAAAUAACUGCCCUAUAUAGCACAUUUUAUUGUAGUGGACCAACUUUUCAACAGACCCACUUAUGCACGGGUUGUUGGACUAAACAUGUGAUGGUGGUGGAGAGUAUGUCGGUAUUCAAUUUCAAAGUUUUCUUAGGGCUAAAGGCAUUGUUCAUCAGCUUUCUUGCUCAUACACUUAUGAACAUAAUGAAUUAGCUAAAAGCAAAAUAGACAUGUUAAAACAAAUAUUACGCUUCUUCAACAAGCUUCUUUAUCAUCAGGGCCAGCCCUGAAAAAUUGGGGGCCUUAGGCGAGCCUUCGAGUGGGGUCCCUAAAAUUCUUUGACACCCAACUCAUUGUACAUUUAUAUGUAUAAGAAAAUGUUUCACUAAAUACAUGAAAAAGUUCAUUUCUACAUCAAAAAUCAUUAGAAUUCAUAUCCAAAGAUGAAAGAUAUGCAAACAUUACUUAAAUAUUACACGUCUCACGUUUUUAGAUGCAAAUGUAUUAAUUAAGUUUACAUAAUUUAACUUUUCAACCAAUUCUUUUUCAAUUGACAAAAUAGCUAACACAUUCAAUCUUUCUUGUGACAUAGUUGAUCGAAGAUACGAUCUGAUCAACUUUAAUUUUGAGAAACUUUUUUUUGCAGAGGCAACUGUAAUGGUUAAUUCAACAUCGAAACUUUGAAUUAUCUUGAACCAAAACUAGUUAUGAAGCAAAAGUAACCAUGUGAAAUCCCGUUCGUGGAUUUCACUGUUAUAAUCUACGUAUUUGUAUUAUUGAGAUUUUAUAUUAUUUCUUGAGAAUUUAUUUUAAAUUGUUUGAAUUUAGAUUUUAAUUAAACUAGUUACGAAGUUUGAAGUUUGGAAAUUAAUUAUUUAAAAUCCGUAGACCUUUCGAGGUCACAAUUUCUAUUUUCGAAUAGAUCUUGAAACCACGAACGUAUAGGCGAAAGCCGUUUGCGAGUCUGAAUUAUAACGGUAUAGUAACAGACAUUUGAAGUUGUUUUACUAAACUAUAGAUUUUAAAUCAUUUAAACUUCCAUAAGGAAGAAGCCUAAUUAGAUUUAAGUAAAAAUAAGAGGACCAAUCAAUUAGAAAGAGAAGGAGGAAUCAAAUUAAAAAGGGGAAGGUUUCUGAAAAAAAAGGGAGAGGGGUUGCUGCUAACCCGUUUUGGGGGUGAAUUGGAUCCAUUAACCCACAAACUUGACCCACUUGUAUCUCCUUCAUCCGAUCUCCGUUUUGGGUGAUCUUGGUGUCCAUUGAAAGCUCUUGAUGAGCCCUACAUCUCUGCAAUGUUAGAUUUCCCAUUUUUUAAUCCAAUUUUUCCAGUUCGAGGCAGCAAAGUUUUGUGGGUUUCCGGCGAUUUUGUCAUUUUUUUGGUGAUUUCGGCAACCAUUUCUUUCGAGUGAGGUAUUAAACUUCAUCUACUCUUCAUAAUCUUCAAGUUGGUAUGCUUGGUUUGUGCUUUUGUAUUCGUUUUAGAGUUGGGUGUUUAGAACCCUAGAAACCCAGUUUUCCUUGAUCAAUUUGGAUGGUUUCCGGUUAGAAUUUUUCGUUGGCCUAAUUGUGAAUAAUGUUUCCCUUGUUGAGCUCUAGUUACCACAUAAAUAUGAACCUUUCUGGUUAAAGUUGAAAAUUUGGGUUUUCAAACCCUUUAUCAUGGCUACCAUUGUGUGUGGCGGUGCGUGGGACCGUCCACGAGUAUUGUCUAAGUACCAAAUACCAUCUAGUGACCCUAUGAACCUAUGUCUAGCUCGAUUUCCUGAAAUUCAAUUGUUUGGUGUGGUGAUCAAAUUGGACCACCACUUGUUUGUGUGAUUGAUGACAAUCUGAUCGUUGGAUCGUCGUACAAUUUUGUGAGCUCCAUAGUUAUCAGUUGUUGGACCUUUGAGAACUUACGGAUUGGAAAUCCGAUGUGCAGAUCUUCCGGAUUGAAUAACCUUAGAUUGUUGACCUUAAUGGACAUACCUUAUUGAUGGUUGACGUUCUAAUCAAUGUGCUCUACUCUAGAGUGUUGUUUAUCUCUAAUUUGUUGUUGAGGCUUGAUGAGGCUUGAUGAAGCUUAGUUGGCUCAUCACGAUGAUGUGUCGUUCCCAGUUGACGUGUGUCUCAAUAUAUGUAUUAGUGGCACCAUAUUGAGUUAUACUUGUUUAUUAAAUGUGCUUUCUAUUGAAUUGUUAUUUUUAUUUUUAGCAUCAAUCUAUGUUUAUUAAUUAUGAAUCGACUGUAACUUGGGAAACGUUUAUGAAAUGUGGUUAGAUAUGUAUGAUGUGUAUGAUUGUAAUUAUGACAAUGUGAACCCAGAAUCUUAUGAGAAAUAUUAUGUAGAACUUUUAUGCUUGUAUGAUAAGAUAACGAUAAUGAGAAGUUGAUAGUGAAAGUGAUUAUGCUGUAAAUCAUAGCAGAUGAGAUAAGGGUAAUUGGUUUAUGUGUUGAUCUAACUGCACCAUGUAGCAGUGGUACAUGGAUGGUCCUGCUUGGUUAGUCUGCAUUGGGAGACCAUACUAUUUAUGGAUUGCACUUGGUUAAUCCGCGUUGGGCGAUCCUUAUGGCCAUUUAUACUUAUGGGUGAUCAUGCUUAGUUAAUCUGCAUUGGGCGAUCCUUAUGACCAUUUAUACUUAGGGGUGAUCAUGCUUAGUUAAUCUCGUUGGGGGUCACUACCUACUUGAUUAUCUUGACCCUGCUUGGUUAAUCCGCAUUGGGGGGGGGUCAUUAGUGGUCCUGCUUGGUUAAUCCGCGUUGGGGGACCAUACUAUUUAUGGAUUGCACUUGGUUAAUUCGCGUUGGGCGAUCCUUAUGGCCAUGUAUGCUUAGGAGCAAUCAUGCUUGGUUAAUCCGCGUUGGGUGAUCACUUCCUAACAGUUGUAGGAGUAACUCUGCUUGGUUAAUCCGCAUUAGGGGGUCACUACCUACUUGGUUACUUUAUCAGGGGUGGCUUUGCCUGGUUAAUCCGCUUUGGGAGACCACUUCCUGUUUGGUUACUUAUGUGGGCUUCGGCCGAACUGUGUCCCUCUAGCCCUAGUUUUUAAUGCACAUAUGAAUGAUGGUUAUGAGAAUCUUGUGGUUUGAAUUAGAAAAGUCGUUGGAUGUUUGGGUUACUCCUUCGGAGUUUGCAGCAACUUGAUUUUGAUUUCAUAAAGCAUGAUUCUAUACUCGAUGUUUAUAGAUUGUGAUCGAUAGUCUGUUUUUACUAAAUAUCACAUACUUGUAUUAUUGUCACUCACCCGAGUCUCGCAGUUUAUCUAAGUGUCUGAUUAGCCUGAUGUACCAUUUCCAUGAUGUAGGCAUUGAUUACAUGUGACAGAUUUGGGUAGAUUACGAGAAAUCGUUUGAUAUUUUGGAUUCCGUUGAGUGGUCCGGAAUCCUUGCUCACUUCCAUAAGGUUAGUCUAGAACCCUGGAUUCGAGUGAAUGAGAAUUACCCACAACAGACCUUGUGAAUAUAAAUUAGAAUUACUUGUUUAUUACUCAUAAUCCAAGUAAGGAAUUAUGUAGAGUUCCUUAGUUAAAUUUGUGAAAUGAUAAGUUAUCGUAUUGACUGAUUAAUGUAAUUAAAUGUUAAUAUCGUGUCUCCUUGAUUCAUGGAAUGAGUUACUUGAGGUGAUUAUGGAAUGAUGUUAAAUAUGAUUGUUAUUAAUACGAUUAGAUCAGUGAUCAAUGCGACUAGAGGAAACUAUUGUGCUUUGUUGAUAUGAAUUGCGACUUUAUGUUGAAACAUAAUUAAUGGUUUAUAUGAUGGGUGAAAUAGAAACCUUGAUUGUCAUGUGGAUUUGUUAUGUAGCUUGAAUCGAAUAAUUCAAGUCCAUAUGUUUGAUGGAUGAAUGUUAUGCCUUUCGGCUUGAAUGGGCUGUGAUAUAUAUCGAGUUGUAGCGAAGGACGAACUACGAAUGACUUGAUCCUUGUUGAGGGUACGUAGGUAGUCUAACGAGGAGGUUAGAUACAGCCAUAAAAUUUACGAAAAUUACUAUGCAAUUUGGACCUUGAGUGGUGUCCCGGAGGCAAUGUAUGUUAGAUAUACAAGUAUUUGGUGACGUCGCGUGUUGAUCCUAGACGUAUGUUGGGAUCGGGGCGUGACAAACCAACCUUGUUAAGUGCACCCAUAAUCCAUUUAUCUUCUUGAAGGGAUUUAACCACUUUAUUAAGUGCAUCCACAAGUUCGAAUUUUAUAACUGCAAUAUAGACACUUGACAAGUGAAUACUCUGAUUUCACAUAAACAAUACGCAUUAAAAUAAACAAAUCAUAAACCCUAGAAUUGAAAAUCCUAAUUAUAUUUACAAGCACAACAAUCACAAGUCACAAAUUAAAUUAUAGAAAAAGAAGCAUAAGAGAAGAUAAGCAUUGAUCGGGUACCUGACCUCUGUAAGUGGAAUGGGAAAGAACUAAUUCGCAGGCGUAGACUUGCUACCAGUAUGUUGUGCGUUAAAUUCCCAAAAAAAAAGUUGAAUUGUUGCUGAAGUUUCACCCCACCCAAGACACUUUGUACGCCAAGUUUCAAGACAAUUAUAUGAUUUUAUAUUUAAAUAUUUUAUUAAAUUCAAACUCUAAAAAUAUAUUUAUAUAUAUAUUAUAUAUACACACACAUAUUUAAAAAGAAAUUUUUUGGGCCCGCCCCCCACCCAAAACGCUGCAUGGCAAAUUCCAAAAAAAUAUUUAUAAUUUCAUAUUUAGAUAUUUAACUCAAACUGCAAAAUUAAAUAUAUAAAUAUAUAUAGAAAAUUAUGAUUGGCACUCUAAAAUUCUCAUUCUACAUUCCAAACUUUCUAUAUUUGGAAAGAAAAAUACACUUGUGAAGAGUGUAGGAUGAGAUUUUAAUCACCUUUUGAAGUCUUAUAUAUUACUCUCCACCUAGGCUUGAUCACUUAAAGGUGUUUGGUUGUGCAUGUUAUCCUUGCAUGAAACCUUAUAGAACCAAUAAGCUUGAACCUAAGACCAUUCAGUGUAUUUUCUUAGGAUAUGCUGCUCAAUACAAGAGGUAUAUUUGUUAUGCAGUUAAAAAGAACAAAUUAAUUGUCUCUAGGCAUGUUUUAUUUAAUGAGACACAUUUUCCUACUACACAUAAGCUGAGUGUUAAUAUGACUAGUUCAUCUGUGUCUUGUACUUCUACAACCUUUGUUGUUCAUCCUAAUACUUUUCGAAAAACUCUGAUCAUCCCUAUUUCUUUACCAUAUGUGUUUGUACCACCAUCAAAUGCUCUUAGACAAUCUGUCACUUAGUCCACUCCUCUCAACAAUGGUGAUCUUGUCUCCACUACCUCUACCUCAACUUCAAGCUCAAAAUCAAUGUCCCACAGUCAGGGACGGAGCUAGAAUUUUCUUCUAGUUAGGGCAACUUGAAAAACACUAAGAAGACCUAUUAUAGUAUGGUUUAUAACCAAAUGAUAAUGGGGAUGAUUUCAAAUGACGAUGUUCACAAUUGCAAUGUUACAAAAAUAUCAAUAGUAGUGAAAAGUGACAAAUUGAUGAGAAAAAUAUUAACACAUGAGAGGCGGAGGAAGGGUUUUUCAGUUUGAAUGACAGAGCAAGACCAUUUUGAAUUACUUGAGUGGGGGCAUCUGCCCUUAGUGGGCCUUCAUUGGCUCCGUCCAUGCCCAUAGUGUCUCAGAGUUUCAUCCAAAUACUAAAUUAUCAUGCUCCAGAAUUACAUAUUGUGCCCAUUUCUUCUCAAAAUUGUCAUCCUAGGCAGACAAGGUCAAAGUCUGGUAUUUUUAAGAAGAAAAAGGCUUUUAGUGUUGCAGUUUAGUCAAAUUCAAGUAAAGAACCAUAGUCAUUUAGUGCAGCUUCCAAGUCCAUACAGUGACCAAAGGCAAUGAAAGAGGAGAUAGAUGCGCUUAUUCAGCAACAUACAUGGUCUCUUGUUCCUCUACCUCCCAAUAAGAAUUUAGUAGGCUGCAAAUGGAUAUACAAGAUUAAGAUUCUUAUAAUUCAUACAGGACAUUGAGGAGAUGUCAACGGAACUCCGUUUUGAUCCGCCAACAUUUUUUUAGGGAUGUGAUAUCCACACACCCUUUUUUACUUCUCUCACAUCCUUUUAAUUUUUGGCCGUUGAAUCGGAUGAAUUGAAAAAGAUCAAAGGAUAGAAAUUAAUAAGGGGUGUGGAAGAAGUAAAAAGGGAUGUGUUAUUGAUUCUAUGUUUUCCAGCUUAAAGUUUAGUAAGAAACACUUGACUUUAAUUAAUGGUAAUUCCACUUGUGAAUGGCUUAUAAGUUUACCUUAAUUCCCAGGCAAAAAUACUCUCUCAUUUUUGACAAAAAAUGAGAACAAUAAAUCACGACUUUUAAUUGGGUUUACGAAAUUAAACUCAUACAUCUAUAACAGUUACUACACGUGGAAACUUCAUGGUUCAAAAGAAAAUAAAAGGACUUGACUGUAUUCAUACCACAUACAGUCUAUAUAAAAGCAAUUAGGAGCCAGGAUUGCAAAAUGCAAGUACACUGCUAGCUAGACAUAUUUCACGCAUUAACAGCCCUGCAGUUCUUUCUGAUCUCUCCAGCAGACCCAGUAAGAGGACUAAUAUUCCCCAUCUUGAUCAUAGAAUUAGCAAAAUCAGCAAAGAAACGAUUAAUAUUUGAGUUCUAGUUUUGGACAAAACUCUUGGUCCCUGUUGUCACAGCUGCAUCACUUGAAAAUUGAAUUUGAUCUGAACUAAUGAGGCCCUUCCCUUUAAUCGAGUUCUGAAAAUAAUGGUUGUCAAAUAGAUGAGCUGACUUCCGAUCAAAAGGCGCGGUAAUGCUUCCAUCAGGUGCUGUAGAUCAGUUAACAUGCUUUGUUCCAACGUAAUGUCAGGAGCACCUGUUCCUGAGAAGUUGAAGAGUCGAUCUCUGAAAGUGCCACACCUUGCCAACCCAAUUGUAUGGGCGCCUACACAUAAUUAAACCCCUUUAACACUUUAAUCAACUGGUAGAUUAUAUCAACUAAUGAUAUAUUCGCUCUUAAUUAAACAGAGAUGAAGAACAUGACAAAAUCUGAAGAACCAUCAACUUAAUUUCCCAUUAAAGUGGACUAAGUGUCUCAGAUACUUGCCGACAUAUUAAAGGGAGAAUUUUUUUUAUCUUCCCAAUGUUUUAUUGGAUGUGUGUCCGACUCAGUCCGAUCUUGUCUAGUUCCAGCCACAAAACGAGAUUAAAGACUAACACUGCUAAGGAUAUUACUCUCUAGAUAAAUUUAACGCGUUCUCUGAAUCGCAUGCGCUUAGAACUGAACAUUUUAUAUUCUUCUCUCUGCAUGCACAAGAGAAUUGCACAUGAGACUAAAAUAGAGUGUUGAAAUCACUAUAGGAAGUAUAUGUACCUGAUAAGGACACAAUGUUAUUGACAUUUAGGCCGACAGCGGCAAACUUCGAAAUGAUGCUGUCUAGGGCUUCAAAUGGUGCAGGAAGUGCCCUAUUUGCUCCUGUCUGAUUUGCCACUAGACCAUCUCUUCUUCCAAGUAGAACUUUCCAUGAAGUUCCUCCACUCUGCAAAAUGUGCAAUAUUAUGGUAGAACAUUACAUAACAUGUUUAAUUAUGAAAUAAUUAUCUAAUUAAUAAUGGCAUGCAUGAUAUUAUCCUUCGACUACUACUACAAAAAUCUCCAAAACAACCGCGGGCCCCUCCAAACCGAUCAGGAGUUGUUCUCAACAAGUAGCAUAGACACUGUUUCCAUUGUGAACCACUUUGCUAAUAACCAAAGCGAUUUCUUUGAUACUUUUGCACAGUCCAUGAUCAAAUUGGGGAAUAUAAGACCUUUGACAGGAAUCACUGGAGAGAUUAGGGCUGAUUGCAAAAGAGUCAACUAACCAAUCAGUCUACUAAUAGGUUACCAAUUGCCCUAAAUAAGGGUACUGUGUUAGCAUGAGGUUUAGGUACCUUGUCAUUUUGGUCUAUUUUUCUUUCCUUACUAAUUAUAUAUAGCUCACUAAGUAUUUUUUCAUACUGUAGUCAUUUAGUCCAUGUGGGGAGGGUUUCCAAGUAUAUCCAACGUUAAUGGUUGAGCUGCUGCGACUUAUUUAAAUAGGUCGUGCUUGUGUCAUGCUAGAUCAGCCUGACCUUUGACAACUCUAACUUAAAUGUGCUGAAUUACCUUGUUGGAAAAGUUAGCAAAUUAAGAAUUUGGUUUGUCAGUUAUUCAGUGAGUAAGGCCCAAGUGGUAGACGAAUCGAUUUCAAACCAUUUCUGAACAAUUUCACGUAUUAUACACUCAACUGGGGGCAUGUAGAAUUAUUGAAGCUAACCCUAAGAUCAAUAAAUGCAAAAAGGAAAACAAAGAAAAAAGCUACGAUCGAAGUAAUCUUCAUCUAAUCAAAAUUUUGUCUUAGACUUUUAUGUUUUGGACUAAACUUUAGAGUAGUAUUUAUAGACUUGUAAUAUAUUUGAACAGGGUUUCCGAGUAUAUCCAACAUUGAUGGUCGAACCAUGUUGUGACUUAUUUAAAUAGGAUGUGCUCGUGUUGUGUUAGGCUAACCUGCCUUUGAUAACUCUAACUUAAAGGCUUAAAAUUUGUGCUUACCUUGUUGGGAAAGUUAACAAAUUAAGAAUUUGGGGGCAGGUAGAAUUGUAAAAGCCAACCCUAAGAUCAGCCGCUACAAAAGGAAAAAGACAGAAAAAUGCUAUAAUCGAAGUGAUCUUCAUCUGAUCAAAUUUUUAUCUCAGACUUAUAUGUUUAUGACUGAACUUCAGAGUCUAUUUAUAGACUCCUAAUAUUAUUUAGGGUUAUCUCAAUUUUCUGAGCUAGCUGUCUUUGGGUGAAGAAUGAUGAGGUAUGAGUGUGACUAACCCUAAAUGAAAAUUAGGACAUUAAAUGGUGAUAUAUCUCUUAACUUUGACAUUACUUUCUUCUCAAACGUUGCAAGGGUGCGCGGAGUAGGUUUAUUAAUCAUGCAAAAUAGGUUAUGUUCACGUUGAAUCAUGCACAAUAGUUGUUGUGAAUGACUUAUACACUUGAAAAAUGGUUGAAAGCCAGCUAAUAAAUAGCAACCAACAGAUCUUGUAAAUCAACCUUCAAAAUACUAAUGUAAUUUUCAUUUAAUACCCCCCCCCCCCUGAAAUCAGUCCUAAUAUUUUUAACGCAUCUUCAAUGCAUAUGAAACUUAAAUGAAAUCACUUGGAAAAAAAUAAAGCUAAUUAUCAUUUGUUUGAUAUUUUUAUUUAAUUGGAUAUUUAAUCAAAGGUUUCUAUAUUUUAGUAUCAACAUGUCAUUAUGUUUUCUUUCUUAACAUGCUUCUUUUUUAUUGAUGACAUAUAAUUUAGUUUGUAAAUUUGGUUUAAAAAUUUGGUCUCCCUAACAUUACUUAUUAGAUAACGUAUUGCUACUGUAAUUUAGUAUUAUUGAUUGUAACCACAUUUGAAAACUAAGCCAAAAUAACACACACGAUUUCUGUAAUAGAACAAAAUAAACACUAUUUUUGGAAUUAUGGUAAAAUAACCACAUUAUUUCUGAAACUGAACCAAUAUAACACACACUAUUUCUGAAACUAUAGCCAAACAACCCACUAUUUAUGAAACUAAAUCAAAAUAACAAUACUAUUUCUGAAACUGAUCCACAAUAACUACACUAUUUUUGGAAUUACUGCAAAAUAACUCACACUAUUUCUGAAACUGAAUCAAAAUAAUCCACACUAUUUAUGAAACUACAAAAAAAAUUACUCACACUAUUUUUCAAAAUCAAAAUAACCCACACUAUUUCUAAAACUAUAGCAAAAUAACCACACUAUUUCUGAAACUGAACCAAAAUAACCCACACUAUUUCUGAAACUAUAACAAAAUAACCACACUAUUUUUGGAACUACAACAAAAUAACCUACAUUAUUUCUAGAACUACAACAAAAUAGCCCACACUAUUUUUGAAAAUUAAACCAAAAUAAUCUACACUAUUUCUGAAAGGAAACAAAAUAAACAUUAGUUUUGGAAUUAUAGCAAAAUAACAUACAUUAUUUUGAAACUAAGCCAAAAUAACCAACACUAUUUCUGAAACUGAACAAAAUAACACAAACUAUUUUGGGGCUGCAACAAAAUUAUACCUAUUUUGAAACUGAACCAAAAUAAUGAGUUUUAAAACUAGGAGAUUUUCAAUCUUAUGAGCCAAGAUUUUCACUAUGUUGUGUUUAGAUAAGGAUUUUGAAGAGCACUAACGAGUUUUAAAUUAUUUCUUUACUCUUCACAACUACUUAACUUUUUUCCCUGAUAAUAUCAUCUUGUUGGCAAAUAAUUGGCAUUCUUGUGAUAGGUUGAGCAUGCCUUGAUUUCACAAGUCAAGUCAUGCAUCUCAUUGACAUGUCUCUUUUGAAUAAUAUAUUCUGGGGUUUAUGAAUUAAUCUCAAUAUUGUUCCCUAUAUAUAUAUAUAUAUAUUGGUCAGGAAUAACAAUUGCAUUGAUAAGGGAAAUACAAAUGGAGAUAAAAGGGUGAGUGUGGAUGCAAAUUUCUUCCUCCUCGAUCUUGGACGAUUUUGCACCUACAAAACAAUUAACACCUUAGGUUAAGGCCAAGAGCCUCACGCGCCCACGAUGAAUGGGGGGGGGGGGCUUUGGCCGAAGAACCUCCGAUGCCAAAGUUAGAAUUUAGAGAGAAAGAGUGUUUAGAGAAUUUUGGGAUUUUUGCCAAAGUGUUGGAAUUGAUUUUUUGGUGAGAAUAGGUGCCUAUUUAUAGAGUUAGGAGGUGGCUAGGGUUUUUAGGUUUAAUUUAGGUUUAAUUAAAAAGGGAAAAUGGUGGAAAAGGUAGAGAAUAUGAUAGGCUCUUUUUGGAUGGGAAUGGCCGGCCCUUGGUGUGAUUUUGGGGUGAUUUGGUGAUGUAAUUAGCCUUUAAUAUAUUGAUUAUAUUAAUUGGUUGAGGAUGUUAUGGAAUGUUUGAAAUAAAUGGCUAAUUGAAUAAGGAAAAAAUGAGGUAAAAACAUAUAUGAAAUAGGUUUUGAAUUGUUACCCAUUUUGGGUACUUCUGACUUGGUUGAUGGAUGAUUCUCCACUGCUCGCGUGUAGGAGACCCGGUAUGCCUCGAGGGUAUUUUUGUCCUUUUUGUCCAAAAAACCCACGUGUCGCCUUGUGAAUAUUUUUGGCUCCACAAAUGCCCCCACACCUGUUGGGCUGCUCGCAAAAAAGGGCGGCAGGUGUAGAGAUUUUCUUGCUUUAGGAAACUUAGGACUGCUUCCUAUUUUGAUGUAGAUUCUCUCUUUAAUAGGAAAUUAGAUCCUUCUAGGAAAGGGAAAUAAAUUUCUCUCAAAGCCUAUUUAAGUCCACCUUAAGUGGGUUAUUAAAUCAACUUUGGAGAGCGAUUUAUUCUACCCUACAAGAGAGAGAUAGCUUAGAGGAUAUUUGUUCCCCCUCCUCUAGCAAUCUUAUACAUCUUGCCCGUGCAAAGGACCGUCUUUCGUUGAUUUCUUCGUCUUCUUCGUGCCGCACCAAUGUAAGAAAAAUUUAAUUUUUCUUGCCUUAUUCUUGGAUAGUGCUAUUGCGUGGUAGCCGUCGGGGUGGUGCGGCACGUCGGCUGGCAGGGGCCAGAAGCUGGCUUGGCAUGAGCUGAGGAGAUGUCGUGGCAGGGACCACUACUUGGGCAGCUUGGCUUGGCUUGAGCCAAGGGCAGCUUGUGCAGCUGGGGUCGAGGAUUGUGGCGCUAGGGCACAGUGUUAGGCGAGCCGCAUGGCUCAUGUCCUUUGGGGUCUUGGACCUGACUCGGGCCAGGCUGGCGAUUGAGAGAAAUAAGGAGAUUGCGGGUCUCAUGGGCUGCUGGAAUGUUGGGCAUGCAGGCCUUCUGCCUGCUGGAAUGCUGGGUUGAGCUCCCCUGCUGAGUACCAUGAAUGUCGUUGGCUGCUUAGUCUUCUUUGCUGAAAGAAAGGUGGGCUGCUCCAGAAAGAUGAGGUAAAGAGGAUCAAGGCGGAUGCAUUGGCUCGUCUGAUCGCUGUCGUGGAGCUUACUAUGAAUGAAGAUGGAAAGAAGAGAUCUUCCCCGCCUGCUCAUGAGAUGCCUAGUUAAGAAAAAACUGAAGACUUCUUCUGCUGCUCAUGAGGGUCCGCUUGCUACCGAGAGGUAUGUGAUUGACAUGACUUUUUCUAAUGGGAAGAAAAAUAAGGCUGCUAGAUCUGAGCAUGUGGCGUCUUCCAUGUUGAGAAUGGCUAGUACAAUUGUGGAUAAGAUUGCUCAGCGUAAAGGUUUUAUCAUGCCCCCAGUGCCGAAGUCUGUACCAGGAUGUUCUUUGGGAGCCAAGUCCGGUUCACCUUUGUAGAGACUUGCUAUUAUGAAGAGUGGUAAGGUGGACUCUGCUGCUAAAGUGGCGCCAAAGCCUGCUCCCUUUGCUGCUGAGAUUGAUUCGCCUCAGAUUCAAGAUCUUAAGCUUGCAAUUUCUGAGCUUCGUUUCGCUGCUUAUGCUAAGAAGGGAGUGGAUGAGCUGCAGCGCGUCUGUGUUAGUCUGCUUAAGAAGAAUGAACAGCUGAAGGGUGAGAAUGAUGGGCUUGAGGUUUUAAGACAUUCUCUAUUUCUCCGAAAGACUUGCUUGCUUUUACUUUUAAGGCUUCCAUUGGUGAAGUAGUUGGAGAAGUUAGUGCCCAGACUGGGGCAGCCGGGGGUGAAGCGCCGGAUGAUGCCGUUGCUAAGAGUGUUACGGCUGUUGAAGGUGUGGCGACCGAGUAGUCGUGGGAUGUCCAAGCUGCUGUAGUGUAGUAUUUUAGGUAGCCUUUAGGAUUUUCUUUGUUUUUCCUUAUAGCUCUUGUUUUGCUUGAACUCCUUCGGCCUUUGCUAGUUGUUUAUAAACAUGUUUUCCUUCGUUUUUCUUCAUCUUCACUUCUUUUGUUCAUGCCCUAACCUUUAGACUUGAUAGACCAGUGGCAGGCAUGCUACUUUUUUAUAAGCAGACAAGCUCGCGUAGCCUAUGCAGCUGUAGGUGUUGGUGUAGAACUUUGCAAAGUUGUUAGCCAUAGGGUUGGCAGCCGGAUGCCUUACUUACAGAAGAAGACAAGUCCGCGUAACCACUAGGCUGUUAACCUUGACUUUCUUCAAUUCCGUAGGUUGCGUAGCAAGUAUCACAACACUUUAGGACUUGGUGUAGGUUGUUCCGCGCUUGGCAGAGGUGAAGCUUAUCGACUACGUAGCAUGUCGGCAGUGGAUAAAACUUCGUAUAUGCGCGCUAGCUUGUUUAACCUUUCACAAGAAUGUGCGGUUGUAUAAGUCUAGCGUGGCUUUACUGCUCGAAGGGCAAGUCGUAGGCAGUCUUCCGGAAUCCGUAGGCUACCUUAGUGCACUCGGUAGCAGCUUUAGGAUUCCAGGGCAGCCGUCCAUCGGAUGUACUGCGUAAUCCGUCUCUAGGGCCCGGUUCUCCAUGGAUUAGGCCAAGAGACCCAAAAUCCUUCAGUUAGCUAAGCCUUGAAAAAGACCAUUGCGGCUACUUCUAGGAAUCCUGGCGCAAGCCAUCAUGCAUCUAGUUAUACUAGGGCAGCCAGGCUCAUCCACGUCUGGAUAUUCAGAGUGUAAAGUUUAUCUUCCCGUCUUGGAGAGCUGACCCAUAUGGGUGUCGGGGAAUUGGUUUACCCUCUCGCACUGGAGAGAAAUUAGUUUACCCUCUCGCACUAGAGAGCAUGGUUGGUCCCUCGGGGGGCGCAAUUCCUGCGAUGGGUCCCUAAGAAGGGCACAGUCUUCUUUUGAAGUGCUGGAGUGAUCACUUGUUGUAAGCAUGCAGCCGAGCCAAGUUGUGAUUACUUCUGAAUUCCUCAUUGAAAAACGAGUGAAACGAACGAGAACUUAGUUGUAAGGUAGGAACUGCAUAACAACUGGAUAGUCCUUGACUUGUGAGGUGGUGCCCGUCGAGCUUCUUAAGUCUUCGGGCUUUGAUGUAGUCAGAGGUCACACAUGGUACUUCUUCAGAUUGUAGGCGCUCUACUACUUUUCGAUCUUUUUAUCGUUUCAUGGUAGCGGGGGUAUAAUUACUCUUGCCGCCUAUUCUGCUGAGCUUGUACAGACCUUCCUAGAUGAGAUCCAUCUUUUUGGAUGUUUCGGCUUGCCUAUUGCCUUAAGGAUAUCUCGGCAUGGACAUAUGCUGCUUGAUGCCAUAUUUUUGGAAGAACUUCGCCAAAUCUUUGCCCACGAAUUACAGGCCGUUGUUGGUGACGAUGGAUUAAGGGAUGCCAAAUCGGUACAUGAUGUUCCUCCAUAUGAAGGGCUAUAUGUCCGUCUGAAUCGUGGUCGUCAUGGGCUCUGCUUCCACCUAUUUGGUGAAGUAAUCGGUUGCCACGAACCACGGCUGUUCGCGAGCCUUUGUAGUUGGAUGCGCCGUUGACAUGCGAAUGCCAGAAAUCUCCAUUGAGGGAAUAUGUGUGGCUAAAGUGUGAUCGACUGCCUUCGGGGCAUCGUUGGGCCGAGUUGUUACGUUCGUCAGAAAACUUUGCAUCUGCCAAGGUCUACGCCUUUAUCGUUGCCGGUUUGGAUUCGGCGGAAUAGUGCGUCAUGAUGAUAACUGCAGGUAACUGUAGAAUACAGGUAGUCGGGCCCCCAGCUCUUCUCGCAUGAUGGUAGAGCUUAUUGCUACUUUAGAUACCGUCAAACAUGCGAAUAAGUCCUCCGCUGCUUCUAGGGAGGUGAUGUCGGGUACUUUUUCAAGUACUUGAAUGUGCAUUGGCGAGCCUCAUCCCAAAGUGCAUGCUUCUCUGCUAAAGCGAAAGAGUCUGCCAGAGUUAGAUCUUCUUUCAUGAUCAAUUUUUCGAAUAGCGGGUGGUCUGCUGGAAGUCCUUUUUGGAAGGCUGCUUUAGCUAUCGAGUCGUUGCAUCCGACUAUUUUUGCCUUCUCUACUUUGAACCUCCUCACAUAGUCGCGAAGCGACUCCUUUGGGUUCUUCUUGACGUCGAACAAAUGGUCAAACUUCUUUUUGAUCGAGCGAUAGGAUGAAUAUUCUUUGGUGAAAACCAAAGAAAGUUCAUAGAAAUUCCGGAUGGAUUGUGGCGGCAGGGUGUAGAACCAAUCUUGCGCCUCGCCUUGUAGAGUGGUGGCGAAUAUCUUGCACAUGAGAUCAUCGUUGUUUCGAUAAAGGAUCAUUGCACUUUGGUAACGUUUUAAGUGUCUCUCCGGGUCUUCAUCCCCUUUGAAAGAUGUGAAAUGUGGCAUGCUGAACUUGAGCUGGAUUGAGUGACUGCUUCUCUCCGUCCGUCGUGCUGCCUACUCUGAUGUGAGGUGGAUGACGCUCCUUGUGGGCUUAGCUGCGAAUAGACACUUUGCCCGGAAGGUUGUUCAUGUUGACUAUCGGAGUAUAACCCCAACCGUGCAUGUAUGCUCCUCCGUGGGCCUAGUCGAGAGUGCAUGCUUAUUCGCACUCUAAGACGGGAAUGUACACUGCCCAAACGUUCGGCUCGUGGCUGCUUACCGGGACGCUGCUGGAAAUGUCCGUCUGCCCUUGUCCUACUUCGGGAUACCUCGUCCGGGGCACGUUGGAUCCCAAUGUGUUGCAAAAGUUGAUUCACCAAGGUUGUCUGUUGUGCAAGGGCGCUCGUCAACUCUAUGACUUGUCGAGACAAGUGUUGUUCGCCAUUUGGAUUGGAAGAGCUUGGAAGGAAUGCGCCUCCUUGGGCAGUGAAAGGGUGGUAGACUUCGGGCGCGAGAUUUGAGUUGGGAAAUGUCAAACCCGCGAAAAAAUGUGGUGAGAAUGCCCCCGGUUCGAAGGUAGGUCGUUGAGAUAGUCUUGGGCCGACUUGGGCUGCUUGGAAAGCCACUGGAGCAGGAUAGGCAGUGAGAGUGGGCUGUUCGUCAGGAGCAGGCUGGGUCAUGAAAGCAGGCUGUUUGGCAGGAGCAGGCUGGGCCACGGGAAUGGGCUGCUCGACGGAAGCAGGUUGGGUCAUGGGAGUCGGCUGCUUGACGGAAGCAGGCUGGACCACGAGAGUGGGCUGCUCGUCGGGAGCAGGUUGGGUCACGAGAACAGGCUGCUUGGCAGGAGCAGGCUGGGCCACGGGAGUGGGCUGCUUGGCAGGAGCAGGCUGGGCCACCGGAGUGGGCUGCUCAACGAAAGCAGGCUGGGCCACGGGAGUGGGCUGCUUGGCAGGAGCAGGCUGGGCCACCGGAGUGGGCUGCUCGACGAAAGCAGGCUGGGCCACGGGAGUGGGCUGCUCGACGAAAGCAGGCUGGGCCACGGGAGUGGGCUGCUCGUCGGGAGCAGGCUGGGUCACAAGAGCAGGUUGCUCGGUAGGAGCAGGUUGGGCCGUGAGAGUGGGUUGCUUGACGGGAGCAGGCUGGAUCAUGGAAGCAGGCUGCUCAAUGCGCGGUGCAUGUGAAUGCGAGGCUUGGGCUUGGGUCCACGUAAACUUGGAUGGCACGGCUUGGAUCGUGGUCUUGGUACCGUGAGCCUUGGAUGGCACGGCUCGGGCCGUGGUGAAGGCUCCAUGGACCUCGCCACGAGUGGCUACCGAAGUAGCCACCGCGGUGGUUCCCAUGGUGGCCGUGAUGAAGGCACCGUGGACUUCGCCGUGAGUGGCUACCGGUAGCCACCGCGGUGGUUCCCAUGGUGGAAACUCGUGGUGGUGAUGCCGCUCCCCUUAUUGUCGCAUUUUGCCUCAAGGAUCUCCGGGCCGUGGUGAAGGCUCCAUGGACCUCGCCACGAGUGGCUACCGAAGUAGCCACCGCGGUGGUUCCCAUGGUGGCCGUGGUGAAGGCACCAUGGACCUCGCCGCGAGUGGCUACCGAGGUAGCCACCACGGUGGUUCCCAUGGUGGAAGCUCGUGAUGAUGAUGCCGCUCCUCUUAUUGUCACAUUUAGCCUCACGGAUCUCCGCAAUCCCAUUUCUUGAACAUUAGAAUUUUCACUUGUGGAAUUUUCUAAAUUUCUAGCCAUUAUAUUUUGCUUAUACGUUUUAUCAAAGAACCUUUGCAAGUAAAAAAUUCUAAUAAUAAGAACGUAUGAAAAAUAUUCAAAUGGACUAGAAAAUAAAGAAAAAAACCUUUUUGUGCGAGAGUCUUCUACGAGUAUGGAUUUCAACUCUCAAUGAAAGCACCAAUUUGUGGAUGCAAAUUUCUUCCUCCUCGAUCUUGGACGAUUUUGCACCUACAAAACAAUUAACACCUUAGGUUAAGGCCAAGAGCCUCACGCGCCCACGAUGAAUGGGGGGGCUUUGGCCGAAGAACCUCCGAUGCCAAAGUUAGAAUUUAGAGAGAAAGAGUGUUUAGAGAAUUUUGGGAUUUUUGCCAAAGUGUUGGAAUUGAUUUUUUUGUGAGAAUAGGUGCCUAUUUAUAGAGUUAGGAGGUGGCUAGGGUUUUUAGGUUUAAUUUAGGUUUAAUUAAAAAAGGGUAAAUGGUGGAAAAGGUAGAGAAUAUGAUAGGCUCUUUUUGGAUGGGAAUGGCCGGCCCUUGGUGUGAUUUUGGGGUGAUUUGGUGAUGUAAUUAGCCUUUAAUAUAUUGAUUAUAUUAAUUGGUUGAGGAUGUUAUGGAAUGUUUGAAAUAAAUGGCUAAUUAAAUAAGGAAAAAAUGAGGUAAAAACAUAUAUGAAAUAGGUUUUGAAUUGUUACCCAUUUUGGGUACUUCUGACUUGGUUGAUGGAUGAUUCUCCACUGCUCGCGUGUAGGAAACCCGGUAUGCCUCGAGGGUAUUUUUGUCCUUUUUGUCCAAAAAACCCACGUGUCGCCUUGUGAAUAUUUUUGGCUCCACAGUGAGGGCAUAGACGCCCAAACCCAGAUAAAAGAUAAAAAAAAAAGUUAUUUGACGCAAAAAAAAAAAAAAAAGAGGUAAUUUGACCUACAUAAAAAAGAAAACAAAUGUGAUAGACAUAUACAUGGACACAACCAAACAAAUAUUUAAUGGGAGUGUGGUCUCGACAAACUUCAUGCAGUUCAAAGCCUAAUGAAAAAAUUCAACUUUUUGAUGGAAUGAGACUUCUGUCAAGGAAAUUGGUUGGAAAAAAGAAAAAUUAGUGUUGCACAGGCUUCUUUAUUAUUGAUGAGGCUUCAACUUUUAUCCAUAUUAUAUUGUAUUUUGCCUUUUUUAUUAAAUUUCAAGUUCUUUAUAUUAAAUAAAGUUAUAGGGUGAUUUUUCUUAAAAUAAACUUAUCUCAAGACUUUUUUCUCCCCUUUUAAUAAUGAGAGCGCAUUUCAUUUAACAACCAAAAAGCCCCAUGGAUAGCAAAAAGCAAACAAACAUCAGCCCAAAACCUGAUCUGAAGCCCAAAACGUAGAAGCAAUCCAUAAUACAUCAAACCCUAGCAUCAAACUCUACCCAUAGAGCUGGCACUACCUUUGUUGGUGCAGAAAACGUCACCAUCGUAGAUACAAGCCAAAAUAUAAUGUGUUGAGCAAAAAUUGUACACAAUACGUAAACAAAUAAUUUUCUCGACACAAUUUCACCCUUGUUCAUUUCUUGAAGAGGGUUUUAUUAAUUCGAGUUCGACCCAUUCUAGGCUACGCGCCUAUUAAUUACAACUCUUCCUUUGGGAAAGGAAUACCCUUUGAUUCUAAUAUAAAUAAAUCGUAACUUAGGGAUUUGGAUGUUUAUUUGAUUUUGUGACUGCACCUAGGUAUAGCCCUAGAUUGCCUACGUACCCUCGUUGAGGCGGCUUCAUGCCAUUUGAAAUUUGAUGUGGCUUUGUGCCAUUUGUAAUUUGAACCGGCUUUAUGUCAUUUGAACCGGCUUUGUGCCAUUUGUAUUUUGACAUGGCUUCUUUCCAUUUGAGACUUUUCUUCGGCUUCGUUGCAUGAGCAGCAUACAUUAAUUGGAAAUCUAGGAACUAUGCUUUCCAGACUCUUUUACUCUUCGUAGAAUUUGUAAUUACUUGGUCAAAGCAGCAGAAGUGAAUUUAGUUUAUAUAAACCAGAGAUUCGUCUUGAUUUCAUGGUUGCGUCUGAAAAUUGAUAUCAGACUGCCUACGUAUCCUUAACGGAAUCAAACCAGCGUAGUUCGUAACUUUGUUGAGAUUUGAAUGGGGCUUUGUGCCAUUUGAGUUUUGAUGUGGCUUUGUGCCUUUGAUUUUUUGAUACGGCUUCAUGCCUUGUAGUAUUUGAAACUUUUCUUCGACUUCAUGCCAUUUGUAGUGGCUUUGUGCCAUUGAGAUUUGAUGCGACUUCGUGCCAUUUGAAAUUUGAUAGGGCUUCAGAUGACUUGUGUCCACGGUAUUUGAUGUCAACCACAGUGUCUCCAUGCCUACUUUAUUUCUUUUGCUUCUUGUUGCUGCCUUUUAUUCCUCCACAACAGCAUACAAAGUUCUUGCUUCUAUAUUGUUUAACGAAAAUAUAAAAGCAAGUGACAAAGCACCAUUGCUUUUAUAAAAUGCCUUUUGAGACUUUUGUAGUCAGACUUUCUUUGAGAAGAAGCCACAUGUUGUUAUGUUGGAGAGAUGUGGUAUUUUAAAGAUGUCACGUGAGUGUUUUUCCCAUUUGAUUUGGGAAGUUGUCAGGCAAGCCCUUAUUGCUUCUAUGUGAACUUGAAUUCUUUUAAGUCCAAUAGAACUUUACGUGUGAGAAAAAUAAAGACAUCCAUUUCCCUCCUGUAAUCAGUGGCGAAGCUAGGAACUUUCGAGGGGUGGGGCCGAAUUUAAAAGCGUUAGUAGGUUUUGAAAAAAAAUUAGACAAUAAAAUUCUUUUAGAUAGUAAACAAUAGUAAUGGUGUUCAUAAUUUAUCGAUACAAACAAGUUGUAAUUGUUAUCGGCAAGGUUUUAUGUCAUGAUAUCGCAUAAUACGCUCAUUAUCAAUAAAUGCAAGAUCAUCUUUCAAUAUAAACAGUCAAACUAUCACGCAAUUGUUGUACACCUCUCUCUAUGUAAACACUUCUUUCAAUAAAAACAAAAACAUUUCUCACAUAAUAUGAACACUAAUACCUUUCCCCACAAAACUUUUUGUAUAUAUGAAACAAGUUCUGAAGUCAUUAUUUCUCAAGAAUUAAAAGAAAAUAAGAUAAAAUAAUUUUAAAUACUAGAAAUAAUAACAAGAAAUAAAAAAGAACAAUAACAAACAUCAACCUUUUGUUUUUUUUUUAGUACAUCGAUAUUUUUACAUUAAGGGGAAUGAGAGUUCUGCUAAGCCACACGAUGAACAACCUAAUAGAGGGGGAGUUCGGCUAAGCCACAUGAUGAAUAAUCUAAUUUGGUAUUGAAUUCGUCAUGUACAAGAUUCGAACCUAAAACCUCUCACUUUCAAGUGAAAAUGAAUAUCACCAGACCGUAGUACCGAGUGACAACCUUUUGUUUUUCUUAAGUCUAAAAGUUUAAACAAAUGAGAUAGAGGGAACAUAAUUUUAAUUGUGCACGGGUACUGCGGUUGGAAAAGAAACCACAUCAAUAGAAUUAAAAAGUAAAAAUGAAAAUAAAGGAGCCAAACCGCACCGUUUCAUUAAAGGAAUAUUGAGUUUUAUAACCAAAGCAUAUAAUAAUGUAAACGACGCCGUUGGGUUCUAAACAAAAUAGGAUCAUCGUCUUCCCUUGACAUCAAAACCCAGCAGCGCAGCUCAGCGCAACAGGUUCAAAAAAUCGAUCGGAAUUCUCACUCUCAGUGGCGAUUUUUGACGACGUCGUUUUGAAAAAAAAAUUGAAUGCAGCUCUGCUGCACGCAGAGCAGAUGCAGACAGAGAUAGCACCGGAGGAAAUGAAGAGCAGCAGGAGGGGAGGGACUGGCCAGCGCUCCAGCCUUGUUUUUCCGACGAGGGGAGUGUCGGCCGCCACUCCUCGCCCUCACAUAGCUUCGCCACUGCCUGUAAUAAUUUCUUUUUUUCGUGGGAUUUAUGCAACACAGGCUCUGUUCAAAGCAGCCUCAUGUUUUAUAUUCUUCUUUGAACUUUCAAUCCCAUUUAAGCAUGGGACUUCGAACCAUUUGACCCAAGUCUUCUGACAACGAACUUUGCUUUUCUUCUUUGUUGUUUUUUUUAUGGGACAAUGAUUGUCUGUCCUCUCACUUCCGAUGUCCUUCUUAGUCUUUCUGUUUUGUGUGGUCACGGUUAAGUAACAUUAACAUUUUAUAUUAUUUUGUUAUAAAGAUAAUAAGGCAAAAAUAAAUAGUAAUAUAAAAUGUUGAUGUAACUUAACUGUGACUACACAAACAGGAAAACACGGAAGGGUCCGGAAGUGAAAUGAUAGACAAUCCUUGUCCUUUUUUAUGUGAUUUUAAUGUUUCCAAAGUUCCAACAGGACUUCCAAUUCUAACAAUCUCACUUUUUCUCCACGUGAGCAAGACUCCCACGUAGGAUGCAGAUUUUAUUCACCCCCUUUCCCCUUGCGAUAUGGCUUAAAAAAAAUCCUCUUUUUCCUUGGUUCUAACACACGGUGUUCUUCCACCAGAAGCAAAAGGCAGUUCCGCAAUACUUGAGCUUGCAUUGAUUUCGCAAUCUUUUUGAAAUUCCUUUUGGGUUUAUUAGCGGUUGAAUUCCAAACGAAGAUGGGUAAGAUUGGUGGAGUUCAAACUUUUUUGAAUUGCUCCUACUUAUCCUCCUUUCCUCUUAAAUCCCAGUGGGUUUUUUUUCUUUUCUUUUAUGCAGGUCACGAGAACCUUUGUUUUUCUGCUGCCUUGUUCUUUUGCUUGUGUGCUUCCUUUGUGGAUCGAAAACUCAAAACAAAGAAGGGGAGAAGUAAAGCAGGUUACCCAUUUUCGUUUUCUUUAUAUUCAAACUCUAACUGCAAUGAACUUAUCAAUUCUUUCGUGCAAGCGUCCCGGGCAACGACAUCUCUUCGAUUUGGUUUGUUGCUAUUUCCUUCAGGUAAUGGGCUUGGUUGGGUUGUACAAACCCUUCUUUUUGUAUAAUGGUAGAUGAUAAGCCUUAUUUGAUGUUGGUAGCUUCUGUAGACUAAAUUUAUUUAGUUUUGCCUUUAUCAUCAGUAGCUUUCAGUACCAUUUUGACUUGGUUUCUGACAUGGUUGUUGGAUAAACUCUUUUCCAGUACCGGGUUUUGUUGAAGACAAUUGUUGAUUCAUGGCUCCAAAGGUGAGAAUUGCACUCUGAAAUUUGUAGUAACACACUCGUAGGAUCUGCUGUAUUUUGAAUGGGUUUUGAUGUUUCAGUGUAUAAUUAUCACUCUUUGGCAUUUCUGUUACAUUGAGAAUUAUUUGGCUGGUCUUAACAGUGGGCAUUUGGACACUUUUUUUGUGCUCCCAUCCUUGUGUUGUCUUUGAUACUUGCCAUCUUUUCUUAUUAACACUUGUACAAAGUGAUGCUUUUCCCAAAAUCUUUUGUAAUUUUGAUUUGUCUUCUGGUUCUUUGAAGGUUUUGUAAAUGAGUUUUCCCAAUUAAUUUGGGAAGUUUGACAGCAAGGUCUUCCUUCUCUGUGAGCUUGGGACAGCUUGAACUCUUUUCUUUUGUCUUAUCUUCACGUGGCAGAGAAGCAGGUUUCUUUUAGCUGUCCAUUUAAGGACCUAGGAAAUUUCCUUUCUUUCCUUUUUGUCUUGUUGCAACUAUUCGUUUUAUUUCAAAGCCUUUGGUCAAAAUUUUGACACAAUGUUUGAUAAACAUGAUAGCCACACUCAAGUCCUUCAGAAGACAUCUUCUUCCUUUUCCUUUCUCUGGAGUAAUCUUUGUAAGUCCUUCAGAAGACAUCUUCUUCUUUUUCCUUUCUCUGGAGUAAUCUUUGAAAAAUGAUAGCCACACUUAAGUCCUUCAAACGACAUCUUCUUCCUUUUCCUUUUUCUAGAGUAAUCUUUUGAAGAAUGAUAGCCACACUUAAGUCUUUCAAACGACAUCUUAUUCCUUUUCCUUUUUUUGGAGUAAUCUUUGAAGUCUAGGACAUCAGCAACUAAACACCUUUUUGGAGCAUAUUGCUCUACUUUUGCCAAAAAGCUCCUGCACUGUUGUUGAUUGAAUAACAAAAACAGGUUGUGGUCGAUAUUUGGAGUCGAAACUUUGUUAUUUCUUUAUCAAAUCUAUCGCUUGCCGUGACACCAAUGGUUUCUUCUUUCUUGGUAUGGACGAUGGACACGAAUUUCUUAGACUUGAUUGGAACUUCACGGGGUGGUUUAGGCCACCCCGAAGAAAUUCAUGGGAUUUUGGAGAUUAUUUCUGCUACUGUCAGUGGGGACUCCAGAUCCUCUUCUUCAUUUCUCUUUUAAACGUUGCAAUUUUCUUGUAUAAACUGAAGGUUACAGACUCUAGGUAACUGAUUACGCCCUCUUUUCUUCAUUUUUGUCUGCAACACAACAUCAAACAAGAGAAAUAAAUAAAUUAAUAGAACUUGUUUCAUACCUGGUGAUGAAUGUUCUUCUUUUGGAUCUUGACUCGAAAGCACAAAUGAUUGAACUGCUUGCUCUCUUUUCUGGCAGCACCUUGUUGCUUUUGGUAUUUUCUCUCAAAGUUUCUCUAUUUUUUCUGCAGAGUUUCCCCUCUCCUUUUCUGUUUUCUCCCCUUGUUGCUGCAGCUGAUGCCUAUUUAUAGGCAUUCUAGGAAGGCUCUAGAGUUUUUUAUGUGGGAAGAUGGAGGUCAUGUUUUUCUGCCACUUUCUCUUAACCCCCCUUACUGACUCCACGUUUCUUUUUGUUGCAGAAAAUGGGGAAGCACCUGUUUUGCACGUUUCUUCCCCCUUUUGUAUGAAGAAAUGCAUAUUUUUAUUUAUUUAUUCAUGGAUGUUGAUUUGUAUGUAAAGCCCACCCUCAUUUUUUUUGGGCUGGAUUACAUCUUUUGUUUUUAUCUUGUAGUUUGACCCAAUUUGUAUGGAUUCUAUUUCUUUUAUGUUGUCUAUUUUUGUUGUUCAACAUAAUGAAAAGAGAGCUCAUACGAAAAUGUGACAUUUAUCACGCACAUAUUCAAUUGACCAAGUGAGUAUAAUACGAUCUUGAGAUCCUAAUUUCGUCAAUCCAUGAAUCUGCACCCUACGUACCAAAGUGUGGCUGAGAAAGCUAAGAACGAGGGGGCACUUGCGGAGAGAUCUGCAUCAAAGGGAAGUUUUGGCAUACGGAUAAGCGUUUGAACAAAUGACUGAACAAAGCAGGAGUAUAAUUUCAAAUUUAGUGGCGGGAUGGCGAAUAUGGGGGAGCGGAAGGCGAGCAAGUGGGGGAUGGAGGGGAAGAGCAAUGGACAUCGAAGCUUAGCUGACGGAGUGGAGAAUUUUGAUGGAGGAGGAAGAGGAGUGGGAGAGAUGAAAGCACCACUAGGGGCGGGGGAAUUUAGCUUGAUAUAUAGUAAUUUCUCCAUUAAUUGAGAAAUAGUACUAGUGGUCCAUAUAAUUGCAGUUGCAAAAGUUAUUGCAUGGUAUUGAUACAAUCAUUUACUAUAAUCAUUCCACAUAUUGUAACAUAGUUUCAUAAUCAUUGUAGGAUUGUAAGUUUUUUUAGUUAAGAUUUAGGGAUUCAAUUAAGCUAAGGCCGGUCGCUUCCUAGCUAGUUAAUUAAUAUUGGAUUAACUAGGGAUAAAGGAAUCAUAAUGGAUUAACCCUUAAUAUGGAUGUGGUGAGUGGCAUGGUAAAAAAAUAAGGAGUAACAGACAGUUUGAGGUUGUGGACAGAUGGAAAAACCAGAAGCAGGGUGUUUAAAAUGUAACUUUGACGGGGCUUGGAAGGAACAGGGAAAAAGGGGGGGAUUGGAGUGGUGUUCAGAGAUGACAUGGGGCUGUUUUUGGCGGCAAUGGCAAUGAAAAUGGAAGGCAUAGCAUCUCCGAUGUUAGCAGAACUGGAGGCAGCACGAGCUGCAAUUCUGAUGGCCCAAGAGUUAAGCACGGAACAGCUGGAACUGAAGGGAGCGCAGCUUUGGUCCUUGCUGCUAUAACUCUUCACACGGAAGAUGAUUUGUCUUUGUGGGGAAAUAGAGUAAAUGAGGCACGCUAUUUCCUACGCUCCAUUCCACAAACCAAAAUCAAUCAUACUCGUAGAGAGACAGACAAGCUUGCUCACAGAUUGGCGCAGGUGGGUCUUACUUUAAAUCAACGACGAGUUUGGUUUGAGGAACUGCCUAAUGUAAUCACUUAUCUCCUGACAGAGGAUAGUUAAUUUUGUAAUUUUGUUGGUCACCUAACGAUUAAAUAACAAACAAAUAGUUCUCUCUCGUUUCUAUCUUCUUCUUCUUCAGCUAUCUUAACAAAUAUAAGAGGUCUUACAUUUCUCUACUUCUCAUUAAGUCGCCACAUUAGGAAUAUAUGGCAGUGCAUAGGUUUUCUUGAGGUUUAAGCAAUCGUGCUUAAGAUUAAUGGCUACUCUCCAAGUAUUCUGUAGGUUGCGCUUUAUUUGAUUUAAUUAUAUACAAGUUUAACAUAUAGAUGAACAACAAGUUGACGUUUUAGGGUACAAGUUUAACAUAUAUAUGAACAACAAGUUGACGUUUUAGGGUACAAGUGUCACAUGUAUAGCAUGAAAAAAUUGACAACGAUGUAAAAUAAGGCUGGUGCUAGAAAAUGACAUAGGUAUAACUUGUUUUUUUAUUGUAUAUCAACAUUAAUUUGACAACAUGGACCAACAUAAGUAAGAGAACUGCGAGGAAAAGAAAUAGGCGGCCGUGGGUAUGCUGUCUUGAAAAUGAUGUCUCCUUGUUUAUUUUUUUGACACGUGUUAUACCAAACUCUAACUUUAACUCUGUUAACUUUUAAUAAAUUAAAAAAUAUAUAUAAUAAAAGUAAAAUCAGUUGAGUUUCUACAACUGUUCAUCUUCUCUCCUCCACCAUUUUCUUGUCUGUUCAAAUACCCAAUUGUGAUCGACCCAGCCCGACAAACAACAAAUUUUAUGUAAAUUUUGGUUUGAAGAAGGAAGAAAUAUGGUCGAUCGUUAUAAACCCGAUUUGAAUCAACUGGAAAACAAUAAACGGCGAGAGUUGAACCGAUUGCAAGGUUUGAUUCAUUCAUCCUAUGCAGUUUCGCUAGUCAGAGAUAGAAAGAGAGAGUGAAAAUGAAGCUUGAAUGGUAGUGAGAAUUGCCGUGGACAACAACAAUUGGUUGGGCUGUUGGGGUUACUGUUUUUGCUGGGAAAAAGAUUGGAAGGAGCUCCAGACUUCUUGUGUUGGGUUUUGGUGUGUUUAUUGUUUUGGUUUUCUUUAAUGGUGGAGGAGAGAAAAAAAGAGGUUUCGCCAGGGAUGAAGAUGAGUUUGUUUGCUGAGAAAAGAUUGGAGGAAGUUCCAGACUUCCAUUGUGUUUGUUGUUUUGUAUUUCUUUAAUGGAAUAAAUUUUUGUUUUCAAAUACAUAUUAGGAGAGAACCGUCAACUGAUUUUACUUUUAUUAUAUAUUUUUUUAAUUUAUCAAAAGUUAACCGAGUUAAAGUUAGAGUUAGUGAAAUGACACGUGUCAAAAAAAUAAACAAGAAGACACCAUUUUCGGGAUAGCAGACCCACGGCCGAAAUAGGCUGCCUAUAAAAUGACAAAAUACUUAAGCCUCAAGCUAACGGAGUCCCUUAUAUAUUUAGGGCACAUACAUAAUCUUAAUCAUCUUUUUCAAAAUACUAAUGACGAAUUUUCAAUUAAUUAACCCUUCUGCAAUCAGUCCUAAUCUCUCCAUUGGUGCCUGCAAAACUCCUAUGUUUCCCAUAUUGAUCAUGGACUGACCAAAGCUAUCAAAGAAGUCACUUUGGCUAUUUGCAAAGCGGUCCACAAUGGCAACGGUGUCUCCGCUAGUUGAGAACAGCACCUGAUCGGUCUGGAGAAGCCCGCGGUUGUUUUGGAGAUUUGUAAAGUAGUGGUUGUCGAAGGCAUCGCGGGUGGACUGGUCAAGGUCAUUCAACGUAUCUCCGCUUCCGUUUUGAGGACAUGCUUGGCGGAGGGUUUCCAAGUAUCCGGCUUCAAUGGUCGGGUCCGGGUUGCCAGUGUCGUUGAAAUUGUAGAGGCGGUGAACGAAAGUUGAACAUCUUGCCCGGC